rnacentral:lncRNA from 1 species
AGACACACUGGAGGGAAAGGUCAAACUAAAGGCGAACGAACGGAGAGAACGCAGCGAGCGGCCGCCGCGCCGUGCGCCAUGACGGACGCGGCCGGGCCGGCUUCCCAGCGGCCGCCGCCCGCGCCCCUCGCCCGCGCGUGCUCGCGACCCCCUCCCCGGCCGCGACGGGCGCGCGACGGGCGCGAGGCGCGCGCGGGCGGGCGGGCGGGAGGUGGACUCAGCCGGGCGGGCGGGCGGGCGGGCGACGGGCGGCGGCCUCUCGUCGCGCGUCUCCGGCCUCGCGCGGUCGGUCGGCGAGAGCGGCCAGGAAACUAAUAGAAGAAACAAAAGCAAAAUGUUUCGGUGUUGUUUUGUAAGCAAAGCCAAGCUUGCUGUCAGAAAGUCUGUGUCUGUAAACAUCCCCGACUGGAAGCUGUAAGCCACAGCCAAGCUUUCAGUCAGAUGUUUGCUGCUACUGGCUCUUCGAAUGCAUCUUUUGGACAAUCUGGCCUAAGGAUUGGAGCUGAGGAUGCUGAGAAAUGCCUGGGAUGCAUCAGAAAUCUUGAGGAGCAUUCAUUUACUGCUUGCUUCUGCUGGCAGCUUCUAAUGUUGGGAGCUGACUAAACAUGCUUCUUCUGGCCUUAGAGGAUCUGUCUAAAACAAGUUUUAAUACUGUUUUUGCCGUGUCAGUACAAGUUUAUCCUUUA